rnacentral:tRNA from 1 species
GGAGGGGUGUCCGAGCGGUUGAAGGAGGCGGUCUUGAAAAUCGUUGAACCUUUACGGGUUCCGUGGGUUCGAAUCCCACCCUCUCCG